AAACUUACCUGCCAGGGAAAAUAUCAAGAUCACAAAGAUCGUUUUCCCAGGGUGAGGCUUUUCAAUUGCACUCUGAUGUGCGGACCUCUGCGAUUUCCCAAAGGUGGGAACUCAACUGCAUGAUUUAAGGUAGUGGGGGACUGCAUCCGCACUCUCCUCUA